rnacentral:rRNA from 1 species
CCUCGUCCUUUGUNGCCAGCACGUGAUGGUGGGGACUCAUAGGAGACUGCCGGGGUCAACUCGGAGGAAGGUGGGGAUGACGUCAAAUCAUCAUGCCCCUUAUGUCUUGGGCUUCACGCAUGCUACAAUGGCCGGUACAAAGGGCUGCGAAACCGCGAGGUGGAGCGAAUCCCAAAAAACCGGUCUCAGUUCGGAUUGGGGUCUGCAACUCGACCCCAUGAAGUCGGAGUCGCUAGUAAUCGCAGAUCAGCAACGCUGCGGUGAAUACGUUCCCGGGCCUUGUACACACCGCCCGUCAAGUCACGAAAGUCGGUAACACCCGAAGCCGGUGGCCCAACCCCUUGUGGGAGGGACUGUCGAAGGUGGGACUGGCGAUUGGGACUAAGUCGUAACAAGGUACCGUACCGGAAGGUGCGGCUGGAUC